rnacentral:sRNA from 1 species
AACCCUAUAUGACCCGUCACAAUAAUGAUGGUGGUCGAUGAUGAUACCAGCACGGAGUACGGAGUUACUUAUCGAUAUAUUUCCUGUGCUGGAAGGAAGAGGAGAGGUCAGUGAGCCCCUUUCUCUCAGUAAUGCCGAAAAUGCAGGGUCCCCCAGAAUCCAGCCCAACGAUAAUCUAUGGGAUGGUUGAUUAGCGGCCUUUUCGGGGCAUUUUCUCGACACUAACACUAACUAUCCGACACGCUCCUGCGUUGCAAAAAGGCACAAAAAGCAAAGGGCAGAUGUAUUUUUACCUGGGUGUACAGUACAUAUAAAUCAUCCCACGUGGCAACACCGCAUCCCAUGCAUUCACAAUACCUGGCAUAAGAUGAGCCAGGCAUGGGGCUGGGGGAUAUACAUACACAUAAUGUAAUUUUUUUUUUUUUUUUUUCAAAAAAAAAAAAAAAAAAAAAAAAAAAAAAUAAAAUAUAAAAUAUAAAUUAAAAGAGAAAGAAGUCUCUCCCUGAAAUCAAAGAGGCAGGGGAUGGUAGGUAGAAUGGCGUCGGAAAGAAAAAAAAAAAAUAAAGUUCUUCUAUUACGCGUAGUAUUGUCGAGAUCACUUAUUACCCCUCCCGAACAGGUGCUGUAUUAUGUAUGAGUGAGAGCUCUUGGACGUCCCAUGGAGUAAUCUGUGUAAUCUGUAAUUGAUAUUGCUAUUUCUAUUAUUAUAAGAUCCUUUUACAGAGUAGCGAGGCGGGAAAGGACAUACAUAGAUGGCGUUGUAAUCCGUGCCGGAUUCUCAAUUUCCAUGAGUUGAGUCUGAUAUUUAUAUAACUAGAAUUAUGAGGG